rnacentral:lncRNA from 1 species
AGGAAGGGCGCAUUCACUGAACGUCCUCCGUUCCGUCUAUUCUCAGGGCCCACCGGGCAGGACCACCGAGCAAGGCCUUGGAAAACCAGAGAGAUUAGAGCGUAGAAUGGGGAAAUGGAGAGAGAACCUGAAAGAGCCCCAAACUCGAGGACCUAUUGCUCCCCAAGAAUAACAUCUUCCAGAAGAACUAGACAGAAAACUAGGCGUCUGGGAACUCUGAAAUCCUUGGAGGAGUAGCAUCAUCAUGACCCUCUGUGUUCCUUUUGGCAAAGGACUUGCUCCCAUUGUUUGCUUGUUCAAUUGUCUGUCUGUUAAAUAAAUAAAACCCUUUUCCUAUAUCUUUAAA